GCCGUCGGGAAUUGUUGCUCCUCGCCGCUCCGCGCCAAGUUCCAGCGCGCGGCGCGUCCCCCGUGAGCGGCCGCCGGGAUGGGGGCGGCGGCCGGGCGGGCCGGACCGCGGGAGCUGAUGCUGCCGCUGGCGCUGGCCGUGGCGUGCGCGGCGUGCAGUGCCGACGGGCCCAGCAACAUGUCCUACGUGAAAGAGACGGUGGACAGGCUGCUCCAGGGCUACGACAUCCGCCUCCGCCCCGACUUCGGAGGUCCGCCCGUGGACGUGGGCAUGCGGAUAGAGAUCGCCAGCAUCGACGUGGUCUCGGAAGUCAACAUGGACUACACCCUGACCAUGUACUUUCAGCAGUCCUGGAGGGAUAAAAGGCUCUCCUAUUCUGGAAUACCUUUGAACCUAACUCUGGACAACAGAGUGGCUGACCAGCUCUGGGUGCCGGACACAUAUUUCCAAAAUGACAAGAAAUCAUUUGUCCAUGGGGUGACAGUGAAAAACCGAAUGAUUCGACUCCAUCCAGAUGGGACAGUCCUUUAUGGCCUACGGUUGAGCUGCUGUGCCAUGUUUUCUCCGAGGACAAGGCAGCUCUUUAGAUGCAUCUGGAUCACAACAACAGCUGCUUGCAUGAUGGACCUACGCAGAUAUCCUCUGGAUGAACAAAACUGCACACUAGAAAUUGAAAGUUAUGGAUACACUACUGAUGAUAUUGAAUUUUACUGGAAUGGAGGAGAGUCGGCAGUAACAGGAGUUAAUAACAUUGAGCUCCCGCAAUUUUCUAUCGUUGAUUACAAGAUGGUAUCAAAGAGAGUGGAAUUUACAACAGGAGCAUAUCCUCGAUUAUCACUUAGCUUCCGGCUUAAAAGAAAUAUUGGAUACUUCAUUUUGCAAACUUAUAUGCCUUCCACGCUAAUCACAAUUCUUUCAUGGGUAUCUUUUUGGAUCAAUUAUGAUGCCUCUGCAGCCAGAGUUGCUCUAGGAAUCACAACUGUGCUGACCAUGACCACCAUCAGCACCCACCUCAGGGAGACCUUGCCAAAGAUUCCCUAUGUCAAGGCAAUAGAUAUUUACCUGAUGGGAUGCUUUGUGUUUGUGUUCCUGGCCUUGCUGGAAUAUGCCUUUGUAAACUACAUAUUCUUUGGGAAAGGACCUCAACAUCAAAAAAAGACAGCAGGCAGGGCAGGACAUGCUCCAGGCAAGAAGAGCAGACUGGAAACAAAUAGAGUCCAGGGACAAGUUUAAUUUUGCAAUACAUCACUGAGCACUUGCAAACUGCUAUAAACCUAUUUCAACUUUUCCCAGUUUUUCAGAAAUAAACCCUUCAAAGCCUCAGGUGUAUUUGGCCCAGUCUGACUCAGAGGAAAAUACAUAUCCUAAUAGCCAAAAAUCUUCUUCCUUUCUCUGCUUUUCUUACAAUAUAUUACAUCCAAGUAUUAAUGAGAUCUUACCCAGGCUGUCCUAUAAACUUCUGUGCUGUUGUGGCCUGAGGUGAUAACAUUUGGUCAAAACUUUAUUUGAGCCCUCUGUUCAGCUGGAAGAAUGAGACCGACACAUAAAACUCUAACAGGUAAGACUGUAUCUUGAUGCAUGGUUGCAAUUUCACAUACAUAUCAGGAAGUGUGUUUCAGAAACUCUGUGAUAUCUUAUUAGUUCUAAAUUUGUGUGUCUGGUGUCCCAGCAGCCACACCACUACAGCUAAGCAUCAUUAACAAAGCUGUCAUAUUCUCAGCCUCAGUGAACUCAUGAGCCCAUUAAAAGUCCUUACUCACAUUUGCCUCCUGUCCCAUUGUGUAGGAGAUGCUUAUUACAAUGGGGGCACAAUAUCAGUUCAGGCAAUCAUCAGUCUCCAAGGUCCCACAAAGUACUGUCUUCCACAGAGCAGAGGAGAUAAGCCACCCUGUUAUGGAUUGUUGCACGCAGAUACUGUCUAUGCAUUUCUAUGGCAAAUAAGGAAGGGAAAAAAAACAACAAAACUCACAAACGCUGACCAGCCACCUCAACAGCUCCUGAGAUAACCCAGCCUAGUGAGAAGCAGCACAGCAAGGAUUCAGGAUGAAGAGGGAAUCAAUGCUUCUUCAGAGGUCAGCCUUGUCCCCAUGGGCCCCAGUGCACUAAACUGAGUAAAGGAUGAGAAAGUGUUAAGGAUAACAGUGCCGGUAAGUUCUUUUUCCUACAUAUUUGGAGAGUUUGUUUAACUAACAAAAGGCCCUAACUCAUAACUAAAAGCUUUUGUCUAAAUGUUACAUGGCAAAGAUUUAACUGAGGCUGGUACUCAGAACGGAAUGGAAUGGACAGUUUUUAGAGCACCACAUGCAUACACCAGCAUUUUUCUGACAGAAAAAGAAGGCACACAUGCUUUGUACCAGGAUUUGUAAGUGCUUACACUGGAGACAGCAAUUCCAUUUUGAGGCUGAGAGUGCUUUAAGUGAGCAGACUGCUUUCUGCCUGUACAGUGCAGGUUUGUGAACAUUCAUUUUACUCAGCAUGGAAAUGCUGAUGUCCAACGGUUGUAUUUCUGUCCUUGGCAGGAAGAAUGCACAUGACUGGAGAAGUGGGACACAGUAAGGUUAUGUGAAAACAGCUUUGAGCUCUUCUCCAUUGUGUUUUGAGAUUUUUCACUGGUAUUAUGAUGUCUGUACCAGAGCAGGGGAAAGUUUUUUUGGAGCAUAAAAGUACAGUUGUGAAGAUAUUAAUCAUUCUCAUCUGACAUGCAACUCCCAUGAGUAAAAGAGUUCAAAUUCCUUCAGCAGAUAACAAAAGCAUUAGAUGUGUGAGCAACACUCAACAAACUGACCACGAUAUUAACAGUAGAGAGAAGACCAGAUGAACAAUGAAACUGAACUGCUGUUUCUUAUGUGGCUGUUCCUUUCUCUACAGACUGAAGAAGGUGGAAAUAGUGUCUUUCCAGUUUCACAGUUUAUGCCAUUUUAAUUUCUAAUAUACAAAAAAAAUUAAUUUGUAGUAAACAAUAUUUCUUUUUCUCUGAAUAAAGCAUAAAGACUGUUUAUAUGUCCUUGUUCAUUUGUUGAAGCUAGAUGUCAUUAUGGAUAAAUAGGAUAAAACCACCCUGCAAGAAAAUAUUUAGAUAGCCCAUGCAUGCAACUGCCUCUGUUUCCCCAGACAAUGAUAGUGUGAAUGUUACAGAGAAGAUUUCUCUUAAAUAUGAGAAAAAGGUAGAAUGCAAUCAUACUGUGAGUGGGAAAGGGGUUGAGCCAUCAUAAGGUUCAUAAAUGACAACACAAGGCAAGUGAUAGAUGGUCUUGCUCCCCGAGUCCGCGCAGCAUCACACCUUCCUUUCAAACCUUCUGUGAACCACAAAGCACCCAGAAUAGAAAGCCAAAGGCCAGCCACAGGUUCUGAGGAAACCAUGAUUCUCCAACAGAGUGGCUACUGGAAGGAGAAAAAAAAGGGGAAUACAUAACCACACAACUAGCUCAAACAUCAAGUAAAUCCCCACCUGAAUAAGUAUAGCCCUGCUGAGCAUAACCUGUUUCUUUGCAGAUCAGAUUGUGAUAACACUACUGCAUUUGUUCCAACAAGACAGCUUGUAUGAGUAACAUGGCCCUGAAUCUUUCAUCUUAAGAGGAAGAUGGGUUUGUAUUGACAUAAAACAGAAGUUAUUACCUUUUAUCUUCCAACAGUUAAGGUAAAAAAAAUAGGUAGGUAAAAACUCAUUCCAGACAGUGUUUAACAUUUGAGACCCAUUCUUUGUCAAGGAAUGCCAACACGCUAUUCUUCCCCUAGAGCUGACUGACUAUUUUUUAUGUGGUCAACACAGGACUGUUGUUUUGGGUGGUUUUCUUUUUAUUACUUUACUGUUUUACACUUAAAAUAUAAUUUGAUGGCCCUAAGCAGAAAACUCAUUUUCUAAGUAAACAUACAAGCAAAAUUAUUACUUUUUUUUUUAUUAUGUUUCCUCAGCACACAUCAUACACUUAAGAAAAUUCAUACAUAUGUUACCUGUGCUGAUUUAGGCUUUAGGUAGUUCCACUGCAAAGGGAAAAUUAAAAAUUUAUAUACUCAAUUUAGAUACAAUACAGACACAAAUGUUCUUACAAGAAGCAUCACCAUAUUCAUUCACCUGAAGAAUACAUAAACUUCGAUAAUUACACCAGAUGACUAACACAGCAUCAGCUUUAGAUCCUUUGGCAUGUUCUUCACAUAUUCUUCGUUACAUGUUCAAAAGACC